CGGAGGAUCCAAGCGUUAUCCGGAAUCAUUGGGUUUAGAGGGUCCGUAGGCGGUCCUGUAAGUCAGUGGUGAAAGCCCAUCGCUCAACGGUGGAACGGCCAUUGAUACUGCAGGACUUGAAUUACUGGGAAGCAACUAGAAUAUGUAGUGUAGCGGUGAAAUGCUUAGAGAUUACAUGGAAUACCAAUUGCGAAGGCAGGUUGCUACCGGUGGAUUGACGCUGAUGGACGAAAGCGUGGGUAGCGAACAGGAUUAGAUACCCUGGUAGUCCACGCCGUAAACGAUGGAUACUAGCUGUUGGGAGCGAUCUCAGUGGCUAAGCGAAAGUGAUAAGUAUCCCACCUGGGGAGUACGAACGCAAGUUUG
rnacentral:rRNA from 1 species